GGACAUGAGGGCAAUCUAGCUGCAACAUCUGUCACUCCAUUGAUCGCCAGGGUUGAUUCAGCUGAUCUGGCUGCCUAGGCCAGUGUCCCCUUCCUCCCUCAAACGUUCCAUGUGCAUUUGUCUCUCCUGAAGCUGCACACUCUGUCGAAGAGGACCACCUUUCCCUAAUAGAGAAGGACCAGUCUUCGGUCAAGGGUAUACAAGAAGCUACGCUCCCCUGCUAGAACCUCCAAACAAGCUCUCAGGACCUUCCACUCAUUCAUUUACUCAGCUAGAUACUGAGAGCAAAAAAAACUACACUAUGUCCACAACACUGGAUUCCACUUCCUG
ensembl:misc_RNA 7SK 7SK RNA